rnacentral:rRNA from 1 species
GACGAACGCUGGCGGCGUGCUUAACACAUGCAAGUCGAACGAAGAGCGAUGGAAGCUUGCUUCUAUCAAUCUUAGUGGCGAACGGGUGAGUAACGCGUAAUCAACCUGCCCUUUAGAGGGGGACAACAGUUGGAAACGACUGCUAAUAACGCAUACGAACUAACCUCGGCAUCGAGGAUAGAUGAAAGGUGGCCUCUACAUGUAAGCCAUCACUGAAGGAGGGGAUUGGGUCUGGUUAGCGAGGUGGAGGGGGAAAGGCCCACCCAGGCGAAGGACAGUAACCGGUCUGGAGAGGUGGAUGACCAACUUGGGACUGGGACCCGGCCCCAGCCCCCUCGGGAGGCAGCAGUGGGGAAUCUUCCGCAAUGGACGACAGUCUGGCGGAACAACGCCGCGUGGGUGAUGACGGCCUUCGGGUUGUAAAGCUCUGUUAAUCGGGACGAAAGGCCUUCUUGCGAAUAGUGAGAAGGAUUGACGGUACCGGAAUAGAAAGCCACGGCUAACUACGUG